GAGAUGUUGUAGGAACCUGUGAAUACGUUACCUUAUAUGGCAAAGUUUUCCUGAAUGGUUUAAGAUGGAAAAGUUUUACUGGAUUAUCCGGUGGGCCCAAUCUAAUAACAUGAGUCCUUAAAAAUGGAGAAUAUUUUUUGGCCAUAAUCAGAGAGACAUGUGAUGAUGGAAGAAGUGUCAGAGAUGCAAUGUGAGGGGACUAAAACUGCUGUUGCUGGCUUUAAAGAUGGAGAGAGGGGAACCUGAGUCAAGGAAUGCAAAUGGCCUCUGGAAGCUGGAAAAGGCAAGAAAUGGAUUCUCCUUUAGAACCUCCGGAAUAAAAUGCAGUCAUGCUGACACCUUGAUUUUACCUCAGUGAGACCAAUACUGGAGUAUGACCUCUGGAGCUGAAUAAAAUUAUACAUACACAUCUUAAUUUCUUGGGAUUUGAUUACUUCUUCUGCUUUGAAAUUAGACCAAGUUUAGCCUGCCUUUGCUAUUUUGGUGUAUCUCCAAUUCUUCAUGAUUUUCUCAUAUUCUUAGGGAUUCUGGAAAACACCUUAAAGACCAUGUGAGAGAUAAGGAGGAGGCUCUCCUGGACUGAACUGUGUCCUCUCCAAAUUCAUAUGUUGAGACCCAAACUUCCAAUGUGACUGUAUUUGGAGCUAGGGCCUUUAAGAAGUAAUUGACGUUAAAUGAGGUCACAGAGUUGGGACUCUAAUGUAAUAGGACUGUUGUCCUUAUGAGAAGAGAAAGAGGCACCAGGCACCAGGCAUGUGAGCCCACAGAGGAAAGGUCAUGUGAAGACAGAGAGAAGGCUGUCACACACAAGCCAUGGAGAGAGGCCUCCCCAGAAACCAACCCCACUGACACCUUGAUCUUGGACUUUCAAGCUUCAGAACUGUGAGAAAAUAAAUUUCUAUUGUUUAAGCCACUCAGUCAGUGGAAUUCUGUUAUGGCAGCCCUAACAGACUAAUACGGAGGUCAAGUAGACAAGUCUGGUCUCUGCAUUUCUAUUGGAACUGGAUUUACUCUGCUCCUAUGAGUUAUCUCUAUGGGAGUUUGAUAUAAAUUGUUUAAAAAUUGAAGC